rnacentral:rRNA from 1 species
GACGAACGCUGGCGGUGUGCUUAACACAUGCAAGUCGAACGGAGUGGCGAACGGGUGAGUAACACGUGGGUGCUCUGCCCUGCACUGCGGGAUAAGCUUGGGAAACUGGGUCUAAUACCGGAUAGCGCAAGAUGAGCUCGCGGCCAAUCAGCUUGUUGGUGGGGUAAUGGCCUACCAAGGCGGCGACGGGUAGCCGGCCUGAGAGGGUGUACGGCCACAUUGGGACUGGGAUACGGCCCAGACUCCUACUGGAGUCAUCAGUGAGGGAUAGUGCACGAUGGGCGGAAUCCUUAUGCAGCGACGCCGCGUGGUGGAUGUAGGCCUUCGGGUUGUAAACUCCUUUCGGCAGGGACGCGGUACCUGAAUAAGAAGCACCGGCUAACUACGUGCCAGCAGCCGCGGUAAUAC